rnacentral:sRNA from 1 species
CGAUGGCGCAGUAUCCUAGUCAGCCUGCCGGUUUCGAGGAAGGGCCUAAAAAUCCUUUAAAGGGCACAUCUGUGAAGCCUCUGGUGUCUGCUUCUUACGCCCAGUCUGGGGUGGAUGCUGGGGGGAGGCAAUUUUGCCUGCGGCGGCCGGGCGCGUUUCAAUGGCAUGAAAUGAGCGACCCGCCCGCUGUGGAGACCGGAUCUCGUGCAGCGGCGUACUCCCUUUGCGGUCUAAACGACCGUUGUACGGUACCGGCUUGAACCUGCAUUGCGGUGCUACCCGGCUUUUACGCCGUGAACGCUGUGUGCAGCGUAGCCUGCCUUGCGUGGACAGCUCGGGGAAAGGCGCGCCGACACCAUUUGAAAAUGGCGAACGCGCUUCUUGAAACACUGUCUGCAAAAGAGGAUUAGAACCGGAAGAAAGCUGUUAUGGAAAUCAUCUAGGCUGUCGAUUCGGGCAGAUCUGGGAUUGCGGUACGGACUCAGUGGCAAUCGGGUACCGGUUUUGGCAACGAAUCGGCCCGGGCAUGAAAGGGAAACCGCCUCUUCGGCGACGGGAGGCUGCCCGGGUGGAAAACAAACCCGACCUAAGCCGUAAGAUUAACCAGAUCUGCCGCCAUCAAA